AUAAAAUUAGAAAAAACAAAAACAGAUAAUAAUAUAAUUUGCAUCCAAAAAAUUAAUAAUCUGCACAUGCAUGUAAAUGAAACAUAUACUCCUUAUGUUCCAAUUUAUAUAUCUAGAAACUACGUAAAAAAUACUACAAAUCACAAUAAUUAACAACUUAAAAUAUUACGACAUAAAAAGAAAUUUCGGUCAAAGAAUGAUUGACUUUCAAAAUUUGAACUGUGCAACAUAAAUUAGAACGUCUCAAAUUAUCUGUCGUGGUUACUAUUGUUGUCUCGAAUUAUUUUAUCGUGUUAGAAGUUCAAUGCACAAUUACUUAUUUUUUCUUUAUUUUAUCCUUGAUAGAAUUUUAUCAUUAUUUAACAUGCCAUAUAAAUAAAGAAAACGUUUACUAGCGCUAGAUUAUAGUUUAGACAUAAAUAAAAAUAAAGUUAGUAUCAAAUACCCUCACUGAUUAAUAUUGCUUAAGGGCGAGUAACAUUUUAGUAGUUUAUCUGAAAAUUUACCUAGGUAAUUAGUAGCAAAAGUCAUCUCAAUUCCGUCCUCAGAAAUGGCGUGCUGGUGAGCGAAUUUCCCGGCGUUAUUUCUGCAAUCAAACAGAUAAAACGUGAACCUCAAAAAUUCAUAAAAAAAAAAAAAAAAAAACUGAAAAAACAUAUACUCCUAUAACUGAUGGGAAUUAAAGAGCUAUGGCGAAUGAAGCUUACAUGAGAAGAUUGAGAGGAAAAUUAAGAUAUUCAAAUUCGGUAACGAACUUUCGUACGGAACUGAGAGAACUAAGAUCGAGAGCCAUAACGAUAAUCUCUGCUUCUGGUGAUUCAGAAAGAAUUCGAACUUUGGU